GCAAAAGCUUAAAUUUGAAAUCUGGCACUAGCCCGAGUUGUAAUUUGUAGAGGAUGUCUUCAGCAAAAGGCUUUGAGUCUAAGUUCCCUGGAACGGGAUAUCAUGGAGGGUGAGAAUCCCGUACAUGGUUCAUUGUCUCUUGCAUCAUGAAGCUCCUUCAACGAGUCGAGUUGUUUGGGAAUGCAGCUCAAAACAGGAGGUAAAUUCCUUCCAAAGCUAAAUAUUAGCCAGAGACCGAUAGCGAACAAGUAGAGUGAUCGAAAGAUGAAAAGCACUUUGGAAAGAGAGUUAAAAAGUAUGUGAAAUUGUUGAAAGGGAAGCGCUUGCAACCAGACUUUUCACUGUAGGUUAGAUCAUCUAGGCUCUUUGGCCUAGUGUACUCUACCUAUAUUGUGUGCCAGCAUCGGUUUGUUAGUCGAGAGAAAAGAGUAGUGCGUUGUCAAUUCCUUCGGGUAUUUGGCAUGCAUCUACAGGUACGUCUUGAACCCAGACCGAGGACAGCGCUUUUUGCACGGAUGCUGGUGUAAUGGUUGUAAG
rnacentral:rRNA from 1 species